AUGGAACAACCUGAAGGUUUUGUUAUUCCUGGAAAAGAAAAGCUUGUGUGUAAGUUAAAGAAAUCUCUUUAUGGAUUGAAGCCACCCCCUAGACAGUGGUACAAGAGAUUUGACACCUUUAUGCUCUCUCAAGGUUUCAAAAGGUCUAAUUAUGAUAGUUGUGUUUAUUUGAAAACUGUCAAUGGUUCAACUAUUUAUUUGCUCCUUUAUGUUGAUGAUAUGCUAAUUGCUGCAAAGAGUAUGUCAGAGAUUAAUGAACUAAAGAAGCAAUUGAGUAAUGAAUUUGAGAUGAAGGAUUUGGGUCCAUCAAAUAAAAUACUUGGCAUGGUAAUAUCCAGAGAUAGACCGUCUGGAAAAGUAUAUCUAAGUCAGAAGUGA
rnacentral:rRNA from 1 species